AUCCAGCCCUCUGCAGCUGUACGUCAGUACCUCCAGAGCUUCCAUGACAUUGUAAAUGAGGAGCCCAUUUACUGGCUGGUGUCUCUGUUGCCCAGAGCCCUGCUCAGACCUUACCUGGCACAGAACCUGCCCCUGGGAGAGAGGACCAGACCAGGCCCCAGCCCCUGCCUCUACCCCUGGCUAAACCUCUUCCCCUGCCCCUGCUACCAGUGGGGGAGAGGACAUGAAGCCAGACCAGAGGAACCAGAAGGAUGAGUCUGGGACAUAUUACAGGCAUCUACUGGAGAAGUACCAGGAUGUGAUAGACGUCUAUAAGGCUGUCAACAUCUUCAGAGCCCCAGAUGAUCAACGAGAAGUCUCUCUUCACCUCCAGCUGGUUUCCCACUGGUGACGAGGAGGAAGAGGAGGACCAACCCAACCUGUGGUCUGUGGAGUCUGGUCCUGACGUUAGGGUGAAGCUGUAGCAGUGCAGCUGUAGAAUACAGGGAGCUGAGUGUGUAAGGCUGUGUGUGUGUUGGCUUUCACACUGGGCAGGACUGUUCCUCUUGUCAGACAUAUUCCAAUAUUCCACUUUUAUGUUAGUAACUUCCCUCAAAUAUCUACUGUUUAAACUG